UACGUAGGGAGCAAGCGUUGUCCGGAUUUACUGGGUGUAAAGGGUGCGUAGGCGGUUCUGCAAGUCAGUUGUGAAAACUAUGGGCUUAACCCAUAGCCUGCAAUUGAAACUGUGGGACUUGAGUGAAGUAGAGGUAGGUGGAAUUCCCGGUGUAGCGGUGAAAUGCGUAGAGAUCGGGAGGAACACCAGUGGCGAAGGCGGCCUACUGGGCUUUAACUGACGCUGAAGCACGAAAGCAUGGGUAGCAAACAGG
rnacentral:rRNA from 1 species